AAUACCCUGCUGUGCGCGUGCAAAGCUGUAUAGUUUUGAGCUAACACUAAUGAAUUGGGAGCCUGACUUUAGGUGUGGCGCAGAAGCCCUGAAUUCUGUGGGACCUGCAAAGCAUGUAAGAAGGCACCCCCCUGUAGGGAGAAAGUUCAAAACAACGGCCCAACGUCAUGGUGGGGUUUAU
rnacentral:other from 1 species